AGUGAACGCUGGCGGUGGGCCUAACACAUGCAAGUCGAACGGCAGCACAGGAGAGCUUGCUCUCUGGGUGGCGAGUGGCGGACGGGUGAGGAAUACAUCGGAAUCUACUUUUUCGUGGGGGAUAACGUAGGGAAACUUACGCUAAUACCGCAUACGACCUACGGGUGAAAGCAGGGGAUCUUCGGACCUUGCGCGAUUGAAUGAGCCGAUGGCGGAUUAGCUAGUUGGCGGGGUAAAGGCCCACCAAGGCGACGAUCCGUAGCUGGUCUGAGAGGAUGAUCAGCCACACUGGAAUUGAGACACGGUCCAGACUCCUACGGGAGGCAGCAGUGGGGAAUAUUGGACAAUGGGCGCAAGCCUGAUCCAGCCAUACCGCGUGGGUGAAGAAGGCCUUCGGGUUGUAAAGCCCUUUUGUUGGGAAAGAAAUCCAGCUGGUUAAUACCCGGUUGGGAUGACGGUACCCAAAGAAUAAGCACCGGCUAACUUCGUGCCAGCAGCCGCAGUAA
rnacentral:rRNA from 1 species